UACGAAGGGGGCUAGCGUUGUUCGGAAUUACUGGGCGUAAAGCGCACGUAGGCGGACAUUUAAGUCAGGGGUGAAAUCCCGGAGCUCAACUCCGGAACUGCCUUUGAUACUGGGUGUCUUGAGUGUGGAAGAGGUGAGUGGAAUUCCGAGUGUAGAGGUGAAAUUCGUAGAUAUUGGGAGGAACACCAGUGGCGAAGGCGGCUCACUGGACCGGAACUGACGCUGAGGCGCGAAAGCGUGGGGAGCAAACAGG
rnacentral:rRNA from 1 species